rnacentral:rRNA from 1 species
AGAGUUUGAUCAUGGCUCAGAGCGAACGUUAGCGGCGCGCCUAACACAUGCAAGUCGCACGAGAAAGGGCUUCGGCCCCGGUACAGCGGCGCACGGGUGAGUAACACGUGGGUAAUCUGCCCUGGAGUGGGGAAUAACACCGGGAAACCGGUGCUAAUACCGCAUACGAUAGCGAGGUCUGCGGACUUUGCUAUGAAAGGAGCAAUUCGCUCUAGGAGGAGCCCGCGGCUGAUUAGCUAGUUGGUGAGGUAACGGCUCACCAAGGCUACGAUCAGUAUCCGGUCUGAGAGGACGGUCGGACACACUGGAACUGAGACACGGUCCAGACUCCUACGGGAGGCAGCAGUGGGGAAUUUUUGGCAAUGGGGGCAACCCUGACCAAGCAACGCCGCGUGGGUGAUGAAGUCUCUUGGGACGUAAAACCCUUUCGACGGGGAAGAAACCGCAAGGUUGACGGUACCCGUAGAAGAAGCCCCGGCUAACUCCGUGCCAGCAGCCGCGGUAAUACGGGGGGGGCAAGCGUUGUUCGGAAUUACUGGGCGUAAAGGGCGCGUAGGCGGUUCGCUAAGUUGGAUGUGAAAACUCUGGGCUCAACCCAGAGCCUGCAUCCAAAACUGGCGGGCUAGAGUUCUGGAGGGGGUAGCGGAAUUCCUGGUGUAGCGGUGAAAUGCGUAGAUAUCAGGAGGAGCACCGGUGGCGAAGGCGGCUACCUGGACAGAAACUGACGCUGAGGCGCGAAAGCUAGGGGAGCAAACAGGAUUAGAUACCCUAGUAGUCC